rnacentral:lncRNA from 1 species
GUUGAAUAGUUACAAAAUCAAUAGCUUUUGAUAAAGGGUGUGGUUAGAAGAGGAAAGCCGUGUGCUCAGGAUGCAUUUUGAGACAAAAGGCCAACUUUAACCACAAAAGUCCUGUGGGUGUUCCUCAUGCAGAAAAUCUCUCACUAAAUCAUGCUCAUGUUUUUUAUGAAUGUUCUGUGCUUUCUUUUUUUUAACAUAGAAGUUAUGACAAUGUGGCUGAGGGAUUCUUAAUCAAGCAGUUUUGGCAAAAUUUGACAAAACCUAUGAGGAGGUGUUCCACUACCAUUUUGUACCAGCCUAACUGAAAUGUCACUGCCUGUGUUCACUGAUUAAAAGAAUGAUGUAAUGGAAUGCAGUUCAUCCCAGCUGGCUAUUCCGCAGAGAAGCACAUGCUCAUCGUGCGAAAGUUAUUUCUGCCGAGAUGUGAAGAAAUGAUCAGCUAGUCUUAGGGCAAAAAGGAAUGACGUUUUGAUUCACAUGAGAACCAGUGACCAUGUUUAUCCACAUUGAACUCCAAGAGGAAGAAAAGACAAUGUCAUAUUUUUGACAGGGGAAGACUUCCGCAAAACUCUUGCCUCUUCUGGAGGACAACUGCUUCCCUCCCUUCCUUCUUCCUGAUGCCUGUGCAUUAGAUUGCAUUAGACGAAUAUGAGUCAGGCACUUGGUGCCCCUUUGAAUGGCCACUGACCUUUGCUCUGUCUCCUCAUGCCAAAAAUAAGUUUAAUGCAUAGUUUCCACUGGAUUGACCUGGUGCCUGGUUAGAGUUGGCUGGUUGGUUGGAUAUCAUAUAGUAAUGUUCUGCAUUGUAGCUCACAGCAUUUUUGAAGAUGCUGUAUAGCUGUUGUUUUUUUUUUUUUUCUUUUGGGCAUAAUCACUCAGAAAAGAGUUAUGGAGUAGUUAUGGGUUCCAUUUAGAAUUGAUUCCCAGUGCACAGGUACAUCCUCUAAAGAUGGACUGAGAUCUCUGAUUGAUGUGUUGCAAGACAGGGUGGAAAACUUACCUCUUAUCACAAUUCCUAAAAAUUCUGUAACUUUUCCAACAUGGUUCCCUGUACUGCUGGGCUGAUUAAAAAGCCCUGUGAGGCCAUGUGUGUGUUUUAAGUGGAUGUAUAGUAUAAUAAAAGCUAAUGGUGAUU